AUCGCUAAUCCGCUUGUUCGCGAAAAAAUGGCAGAUCCGUUUUUGUUUUCUUUAGCUCAUUAUUAAUUACGUGAUCUACAACUAGAAUUAUUUAAAUAUUCGCUUUAUUUUACUCGGCUUAAACAAUACGACAGGCAAUUCUGCGCCGACGCCGGUCAUGAACCGUCCAUAUUCGCCAUUUUGUCAUUUAGCAAACUAAGAAAAUGCAAACAAAACAUUAUUUGCCCUAAACACGCGUUACUUCUAAAUAAUUUUUGUCGACAAAGUGAUCUUGUUUUAUCAAACUGAACUCCGAACUGCAAUUGCAAUGUAAUUUUCCGAUAGCGAAAGUGAGGUUAUGAAAUUGACAUGACAUUUAGUGAAUGCAAUGCAAUGGACAUGUGUUUAGUUGUGUUUCUCAUCAAGAUAAUAGAAGAAUCUAGUGCUCAUACUCAUGAUCUAAUGAGCAAACAGCCCAUGCAAAGGAUGUCUUAUCGGGCUAUGCCUCAAUCGAUAAAGUGAACUAAUUGCCUACUUCAAAAGCAGUUUUGCAUGAAAGUCAACAUCUAAUUGGAAUUUACAAUGCCCGAUAUUUCUACACAUCUGCCACAAAUUUUAUGGAAAACAAUAUUUAUAGAAACUGAACAUACCUUGGUUAAACGUAUAUGAAAUGGGUAACCAUCCUUGAAGAACAUCAACCAGCUGUCGGCAAUGUGCAGGUGGACUGAGGAAUUUUCCGGUGUGUCCUUUAUGGACUGUACUCCGUCUUAGCACUAUCCUCAAGUUUUACCCGAGAGGCCAUGCUUCAGGUUGGACCGUUUU
rnacentral:lncRNA from 1 species